UACGGAGGGUGCAAGCGUUGCUCGGAAUUACUGGGCGUAAAGGGCGUGUAGGCGGUUUCGUAUGUCUGGCGUGAAAGCCCCGGGCUCACCUCGGGAAGUGCGUCGGAAACUGCGAGACUAGAGUCCCGGAGAGGGAGGUGGAAUUCCAGGUGUAGCGGUGAAAUGCGUAGAUAUCUGGAAGAACACCGGUGGCGAAAGCGGCCUCCUGGACGGUGACUGACGCUGAGACGCGAAAGCGUGGGGAGCAAAC
rnacentral:rRNA from 1 species